rnacentral:rRNA from 1 species
CACGGGGGGAGCAAGCGUUGUUCGGAAUCACUGGGCGUAAAGGGCGUGUAGGCGGUCAAGUAAGUGGAAUGUGAAAGCCCCCGGCUUACCCGGGGAUCUGCAUCCCAAACUGCUUGGCUUGAGUACGGGAGAGGAUAGGGGAAUUCCUGGUGUAGCGGUGAAAUGCGUAGAUAUCAGGAGGAACACCGGUGGCGAAGGCGCCUAUCUGGCCCGAUACUGACGCUGAGGCGCGAAAGCGUGGGUAGCAAACAGG